UACAGAGGGUGCAAGCGUUAAUCGGAAUUACUGGGCGUAAAGCGUGCGUAGACGGUUAUGUAAGUCAGAUGUGAAAGCCCCGGGCUCAACCUGGGAAUUGCAUUUGAGACUGUGUAGCUAGGGUGCGGAAGAGGGAAGCGGAAUUUCCGGUGUAGCGGUGAAAUGCGUAGAUAUCCGGAGGAACACCGGUGGCGAAGGCGGCUUCCUGGACCGACACUGACGCUGAGGCGCGAAAGCUAGGGGAGCAAACGGG
rnacentral:rRNA from 1 species